rnacentral:tRNA from 1 species
AUUUAUAUAGUUUAUAAAAAAAACAUUAUAUUUUCAUUAUAAAAAAAAGAUAAAAAUAUCUUUAUAAAUA